AUUGAACGCUGGCGGCAGGCCUAACACAUGCAAGUCGAGCGGAUGAAGGGAGCUUGCUCCUGGAUUCAGCGGCGGACGGGUGAGUAAUGCCUAGGAAUCUGCCUGGUAGUGGGGGAUAACGUCCGGAAACGGGCGCUAAUACCGCAUACGUCCUGCGGGAGAAAGUGGGUGAUCUUCGGACCUCACCCUCUCAUAUGAGCCUAGGUCGGGCUAGAUAGUUGGUUGGGUAAAGGCCUACCAAGCCGGCGAUCCGUAACUGGUCUGAGAGAAUGAUCAGUCACACUGGAAGUGGAACACGGUCCAGACUCCUACGGGAGGCAGCAGAGGGGAAUAUUGGACAAUGGGCGAAAGCCUGAUCCAGCCAUGCCGCGUGUGUGAAGAAGGUCUUCGGAUUGUAAAGCAGUUUAAGUUGGGAGGAAGGGCAGUAAGUUAAUACCUUGCUGUUUUGACGUUACCAACAGAAUAAGCACCGGCUAACUUCGUG
rnacentral:rRNA from 1 species